CCUACGGGAGGCAGCAGUGAGGAAUAUUGGUCAAUGGACGAGAGUCUGAACCAGCCAAGUAGCGUGAAGGAUGACUGCCCUAUGGGUUGUAAACUUCUUUUAUAUGGGAAUAAAACGUUCCACGUGUGGGAGUUUGUAUGUAACAUAUAAAUAAGGAUCGGCUAACUCCGGGCCCGCCGCCGCGGUAAUACGGAGGAUGCGAACCGUAUCCGGAUUUAUUGGGUUUAAAGGGAUCCUAGGUGGAUUGUUAAGGCAGUCGGUAAAGUUUGCGGCCCAACCGUAAAAUUGCAGUUGAAACUGGCAGUCUUGAGUACAGUAGAGGUGUGCGGAAUGCGUGGUGUAGCGGUGAAAUGCUUAGAUAUCACGAAGAACUCCGAUUGCGAAGGCAGUUCACUGGACUGCAACUGACACUGAGGCUCGAAAGUGUGGGUAUCAAACAGGAUUAGAUACCCCUGUAGUC
rnacentral:rRNA from 1 species